GCGCGCGCCGCCAUCUUACAUCUGAGGAGGCCCGCCUUUCCUUGCUUCCUGCCGUCAGAGUGGUCGAAGAGGCAGUCGUCGUCCAGGUUCCGGGGAGACUUAUCGGGCUGACCGCUGAGACCCAAAAGCUUUACCACGUGCUGAAGCCAGUUAGGGGUUUCGCACUUUUUUCUGAUUUGAACUCUGGGGAGCUUCAGAGUCUACUUCCUUAAACCCUUCUAUUAAAAGCACUGUUGCGCAGUGAAGGACAAGAAGUACUGGAAAUUGAAACCAGGAACUCAUGCAUGCUAAGCACAUACUCUACCACUGAGCUGUACCCUCCCUGCCUCAACUAUUCUUAAAGAAACUUGAAUAAUUACCUCUUGGUGAAUAUAGUUCAGAUCUUCAUUCUGCUAAAAUAAGCCAAAGGCCAUUUUGGUGUUGAGAGUCCAGCAGCCCCAAGGAGAGGUCUGCGUGAGUAGAUGGACAGGCGUCAAACUCAUGGCUGUGUGUGUGUUUCCAUGGCGUUGGAUGCUCCUGUUGGAUACUGUUUGAUGGCUGCAGUCUCUGCCUGUAUCUUUUUUUUAAAUGUUUUUACUAAAGUGUAGUUGGUUUACAAUGUUAGUUUCAGCUGUAAAGCAAAGUGAUUCAGUUGUACAUAUACAUACAUAUACAUAUUUUCUUUUCAAAUUCUUUUCCAUUGUAUGUUAUUACAAGAAAUUGAAUAUAGUUUCCUGUGCUAUAUAGCAGGUCCUUGUUGUUUAUCUAUUUUAUACAUAGUAAUAUGUGUCUGUUAAUCCCCAACCCCUAAUUUGUGCCUCCUGGCCCUUUCCCCUUUGGUAACCAUAGUUUGUUUUCUAUGUAAAUGAGUCUGUUUUUGAUUUGUAAAUAGAAUUUGUAUCAAAUUUUAUAGAUGUGAUGUAUGAUUUUUUAAAAUUUUUUGUAAGUGAUGUAUGAUUUUUUAAAAUUUUUUACUGAAAUGUAGUUGAUUUACAAUGUAAGUUUCAGAUGUACAGCAAAGUGAUUCAGUUAUACAUAUACAUCAGUAUACUUUUUUUUUUUAGAUUUCACAUAUAAGUGAUAUCAUAUGGCAUUUUUCUGACUUACUUCACUCAGUAUGAUCAUCUCUAGGUCCAUCCACGUUGCUGCAAAUGUCUCUGCCCAUAUCUUAAUUGCUCUGAUGAGAAGUGGCAAGCCAAAACCAGUUAAGCUCUCUGAUCCCCUAAGUAGUUCCCCUGACUCACAGGAACUAUGUGAGAUAAUGAUCCUUGUUUUUUAAUGCCACCAUUUCAGUGUAAUCUGUUACACAUCCCAAGGCCACAAAGCAGCAUGGCCCUGUGCCAGCACACACAGAAGGGCCUGGGGCACAUCAGCCCAGGCAUAACUGGAGGUGGAUGGGAAAGGACUCCCCAUGCUGGGAGUAGAGGCAGCAGCUGGAAAUUGUAUCCUCAUCACUCUGACCAGAAAUAGAGGUUUGAUGGGAAGCAGUCCAUGCUAGUUUUAUGUAAUUUCUGAGGAAUCCCUUUUCCACAUGGUCUAUAGCUCAAAGAUGCUUUGGAAAGAAACCCUCUAUUCACUGGGAAUUCUUUUUUGUUUUUCUUACUAUUGUGUCUUUGUAAACAGUCUUGUAGAAAAAAAAAUGUGUAACAUCCCAGAACCCCAGACUGUUUGAACAUGAGAUGAGGCCCUUCCAUAGCAGCUGUAUUUUAAUGGUACUGUCUAGAACGAUCUAGAACCCUGUUUAGACUGCAACAGACAGUAAGUAACGUUUCAUUGUGACCUAAUGCUCUAAAUGUAUGUAGAAAACUGAAAAAUAUUUUGUGAAGCAACACUUCAAACUUGCACAUUUGAUCAUGUAAAAACAUUGCAAAGUUGAUAUUCAAAUAUUAUUCUAUUCAUAUGUAUAUAUAACCCAGGAAAAACAUAAACAGUACAAAAACAAAAAAUUAGAAAUGGCUUUGUUUAAUGACAGUUCAUGAAUGUAUUUCAGCCCCAAACACACAAGGACAAAGCUACUGUGCACAUAUCUGGUUGAGACUUAUCUGAACAUUCAUAAUUAAAACUCAGUGGAAACCAUAAGUAAAAUAAAAAGACAACCUACGGAAUGGGAGAAAAUAUUUGCAAAUGAAACCGACAAAGGCUUGAUCUCCAGAAUAUAUAAGCAGCUCAUAUGACUUAAUAAGAAACAACCAAACAACCCAAUCCAAAAAUGGGCAAAAGACCUAAACAAGCAAUUCUCCAAGGAAGAUAUACAAAUGAUCAAUAAGCACAUGAAAAAAUGCUCAAUAUCACUAAUUAUCAGAGAAAUGCAAAUCAAAACUACAAUGAGGUAUCACCUCACACCAGUCAGAAUGGCCAUCAUUCAAAAAUCCACAAAUGACAAAUGCUGGAGAGGCUGUGGAGAAAGGGGAACCCUCCUACACUGCUGGUGGGAAUGCAGUUUGGUGCAGCCACUAUGGAAAACAGUAUGGAGAUUCCCCAAAAGACUAGGAAUAGACUUACUGUAUGACCCAGGAAUCCCACUCCUGGGCUUAUAUCCAGAAGGAACCCUACUUCAGGAUGACACCUGCACCCCAAUAUUCAUAGCAGCACUAUUUACAAUAGCAAAGACAUGGAAACAGCUUAAAUGUCUAUCAACAGAUGACUGGAUAAAGAAGAAGUGGUAUAUUUAUACAAUGGAAUACUACUCAGCCAUAAAAACUGACAACAUAAUGCCAUUUGCAGCAACAUGGAUGCUCCUGGAGAAUGUCAUUCUAAGUGAAGUAAGCCAGAAAGAGAAAGAAAAAUACCAUAUGAGAUCACUCAUAUGUGGAAUCUAAAAAACAAAAACAAAAACAGAAAAAACAAAGCAUAAAUACAAACCAGAAAUAGACUCAUAGACAUAGAAAUACAAAUUUGUGGUUGCCAAGGGGGCGGAGGGUGGGAAGGGAUAGAUGGGAUUUCAAAAUUGUGGAAUAGAUAAACAAGAUUAUACUGUAUAGCACAGGGGAAUAUACACAAGAUCUUAUGGUAGCUCACAGAGAAAAAAAGUGACAAUGAAUAUAUAUAUGUUCAUGUAUAACUGAAAAAUUAUGCUCUACAGUGGAAUUUGACACAACAUUGUGAAAUGACUAUAAAUCAUAAUAAAAACUCAGUGGAAGACAUUAAAAACAAACUCAUGGUUACCAGAGGGGAAAGGGAGUGGGAAGGAAUAAAUUGGGAGUUCAAGAUUUGCAGGUACCAACUACUAUACAUAAAAUAGAUAACCAACAAGUUUCUACUGUAUAGCACAGGGAACUAUAUUCAAUAACAUGUAUAGUAACCUAUAAUGAAAAAGAAUAUGAAAUGGAAUAUAUAUAUAUGUACAUGUAUGACUGAAACAUGAUGCUGUACACCAGAAAUUGGCACAACAUUGUAAACUGACUAUACUUCAAUUGAAAAAAAACCUCAGUGAAAAAUCUCAUACUUGCUAAAGAUAGAUAAAAUUCUCAUGCAUUUCACAGGUGUGAAUUCUGUUCAUGUUAAUAACAUCUUGAUAACAGUCAAACUGUCAUUUACUGGUAAAUCAAAUGACACCUGUAAACAAAAGCUUGAAACACCAGUAGUAGCCAAUGUACCUCCCUGGCACUGUCUCACUCAGAAACUUGUCACGACUGGCAUCAAUAUUUGUCACAAUGGGUGCAGUUUGGGGGUAAGAAUCUGUGAAAUGCACUGUGAUAAUUUUCUGUUCUUUUUUAAAUAGUUGUCAUAGCCCAUGGAUUUGGAGGGUUGUGAUCUGCAGAUUUGAAAACACUGGGUUAGAAGCUUUCAGCUUUUGCACAGAUGCUGCAUAUGGUUUCCUGCUGGUAUUAGUUUCCUGUUGCUGCUGUAACAAACUACCACGAACCUAAUGGCUUAAAAUGACACAUUCCCUUACAGUUCUAUAGGUCAGGAAUCUGACAUGGGUCCUCCUGGGCUGCAUUCCUCUCUGGGGGGUCUUGGGAAGGACUCACUUCCUUGCUUAUCAAGGCUUUCACAGAAUUCAAUUCCGUGUUGUUGUUGGAUUGAGGUCUCCACUUCCUUGCUGGAUGUCAUCUCAGGCUACCCUUAGCUCCCAGAGGCCUCUCUCCCAUCCACACACACACACACACCCUGCAGCUCAGAGCCAGUAACAGGGCACUGAAUCUUUCUCUUUGUCCGUUCUUGCAUUUGUCCCACUGCAACUUGGAAAGGUUCCGCACUUUUAAGGACUCGUGCGAUUAGAUUGUGCCCACUUAGAUAAUCUCCCCAUCUCAACCUCCAUACCCUUAGUCACAUCAACAAAGUUACUUUUUCCAUGUAAAGUAACAUUUACAGAUUCCAGAGAUUAGAGCAUAGAAAAUAUUGGGACUAUUAGUCUCCCGACUGCACUAACUUCUAGGCAUGUGCUUACCUAUGUACAUUUUAUUGAUAACAAAGCUUUGGAUUGCUGAACAUAAGUAUUUAUCAUCCCUGAGGAGGUUUUAGAUGCAGGGCUUUUGGGAACAUGAACCUUAUAAGUUCCAUCUGGUGCUUUCUCCAUAGACCUCAGAAAGCCAUUUGCUUUUCCAGAAGGUGUUUAACACUGAUACAUAAAUCUGCAUACACACAAAAGCACACAGGACUCACAUUUAGGUGGAAACUCAGAAUAAUAUUAAAGAUAAAAAGGAAACAUGGAAUGUCGGCUCAUCAAUUGUACCAGAUACACUACACUGAUGAGGGAUUUUGAGGGUAGGGGAGUAUAUAUGUGUGGGUGGGGAGGUCUAUGUGGGAACUCUGUAUUUUCUGCUCAAUUCUGCUGUAAACCUGAAACUGCUCUAAAAAAAAAAAAUCUAUUAAAAGAAAAAAGUUCUCAUCAUAAGAAAAAAACUGUAACUAUGUAUGGUGGUGGGCGUUAACUAGACUUACUGUGGGUAUCAUUUCACAUUAUAAACAUAUAUUGAAUCAUUAUGUUGUAUACCUGAAACUAAUAUCAUGUUAUAUGUCAAUUAUAUCUCAAUAAAAAUUUUUUAAAAAGAAACAUGGAAAAACAAUCAGGUCCUGCUGUAUAGCCCAGGGAACUAUAUUUAAUAAUUUGCAAUAACCUGUAAUGAAAAAAUAUGAAAAAGAAUGCAUAUAUAUAUGUAUAACUGAAUCACUAUACUGUAGACCAGAAAUUAACAACAUUGUAAAUCAGCUAUGCUUCAAUUAAAAAACAAGAGAUUUUGGAGGCUUGAGCCGUGGGCACCAGAAAGGAUACAGGAGGUACCUCCACAGCUGACACAGGAUGGCCUGCGGCCUCAGGGAAGAUGCUUUGGGAACAGGAUCAGGAAGCAUUCAGGACACCAGGACCCUAAAUGAGCCUGGACAGCAGCACAGGGGCAGUUCAGUCCAGGCUGGCGCUGGAGGUACCACCCAGGCCACAUUCAGGAAGAUUAAUGAAAGUUCUGCUGUGGAAUAGUGGUAGGAGGUCCUUCCGUGCUCUCCAGCCAAUGUACUGCUGCUUUAUUUUACUUCUAUGUGAACCAAGACUUUGCCUCAUCACAGAAGAUCCAGAAACUUCAUAUCUUCCACACUGCUCAGAGCUCCAUGACAGUUAAUUGGGGAGAAAUUGCAUCUGAGUGUCUGCCCUACAUUGCAGAUUUGCUGUCUGUCACCUUCAAAUUUUCCUUUUCACAUCUAACAAAUUACAAGUAAAGACUGGCUGGGGGGAGAAGGAAUAUCUCAGUGGUAGAGUGUGUACCUAACAUGCACGAGUUCCUGGGUUCAGUCCCCAGUACCUUCAUUAAAAUAAAAUAAAUAAACCUAAAUAAAUAAAUAAAUAAACUUCACGUAUUACAAUAAUCUCUCAGUUCAUCCAUGUUGCUGCAAAUGGCAUUAUUUCAUUCUUUUCAUGGCUGAGUAGUAUUCCAUUGUAUAUAUGUACCAUGUCUUCUUUAUUUAGUCACGUACUGAUGGACAUUUAGAUUACUUCCAUGUCUUGGCUAUUGUAAAUAGUGCUGCUAUGAAUAUUGGGGUGCUUGUACCUUUUUGAAUUUGAGUUUUCUCUGGAUAUACACCCAGGAGUGGGAUUGCUGGAUCAUAUGGUAAUCAGUUGCAUUUCUAUAAACUAACAAUAAACUAUUAAAAUGAAAAAUUAAGAAAACAACAUUUACAAUUGCAUUAAAAAGAAUAAAAUACCUAGGAAUAAAUUUAACCAGGAAGUGAAAGAUCUACUCUGAAAAACUAUAAAACAUUCAUAAAAGAAAUUGAAGAAGACACAAAUAAAUGGAAAGAUAUUCUGUGCUCAUGGAUUAGAAUUAGUAUUCUUAAAAUGUCCAUACAACCCAAGCUAUCUACAGAUUCAAGGCAAUCCCUAUCAAUAUUCCAAUCGCAUUUUCACAGAAAUAGAACAAACAAUCCUAAAUUUUAUAUGGAAACCCACAAAAGGCCCCAAAUAGCUACAACAAUCUUGAGGAAGAAGUUCAAAGUAGGAGAUAUCAAGCGUCCCAAUUUCAAAUGAUACUACAAAUCUACAGUAAUCAAAACAGUAUGGUACUGGCACAAAAACACACAAAGAUCAAUGGAAAAAAGAAGAGAGCCCAGAAGUAAACCUACACAUUUUUGGUCAAUUAAUCUAUGAACAAGGAGGCAAAAAUAAACAAUGGAGAAAAGAUAGUCUCUUCAAUAAGUGGUGUCAGGAAAGCCAAACAGCUACAUGUGAAAAAAUGAAGUUAGAGCAAUU